CGACGUAGGGCGCAAGCGUUGUCCGGAUUUAUUGGGCGUAAAGAGCUCGUAGGCGGCCUGUCGCGUCAACCGUGAAAUCCCGCGGCUUAACUGUGGGCGUGCGGUUGAUACGGGUGGGCUGGAGUUCGGUAGGGGAGACUGGAAUUCCUGGUGUAGCGGUGAAAUGCGCAGAUAUCAGGAGGAACACCGGUGGCGAAGGCGGGUCUCUGGGCCGAUACUGACGCUGAGGAGCGAAAGCGUGGGGAGCGAACAGGAUUAGAUGCCCUGGUAGUCCACGCUGUAAACGUUGGGCGCUAGGUGUGGGGGGCCUUCCCGGUUUCCUGUGCCGUAGCUAACGCAUUAAGCGCCCCGCCUGGGGAGUACGGCCGCAAGGCUAAA
rnacentral:rRNA from 1 species